AUGGCUAAGGUGACCCCAAGAAACCCAAGGGCAAGAUGUCUGCUUAUGUCUUCUUUGUGCAAACGUGCAGAGAACAUAAGAAAAACUCAGAUCUCUGUCAAUUUUGCAGUUUUCCAAGAAGUGCUCUGAGAAGUCGAAGACAAUGUCUGGGGAAGAAAAGUUGAAAUUAUAACAUGGCAAAUGUGGAUAAAGAAUGCAAUGAUAGGGAAAUGAAGGAUUACAGACCAGCUAAGGGAGGCAAGAAGAAGGACCCUGAUGCCCCCAAAAGGCCACUGUCUGAAGUUUUCCUGUUCUGUUCAGAAUUCUGCCCCAAGAUCAAAUCCAGAAACCUUGACACCUCCACUGGAGAUGUGGCAAAACAAACAAACAAAAAAGUUGGGUGAGAUGCAGAAUAACUUAGGUGACCGUGAAAAGCAGCCUGACAUCACUAAGGCAGUGAAGCUGAAGUAUAAGAAGGAUGUUGCUGACUAUAAGUCUAAAGGAAAGUUUGAUGCUACAGAGGGACAGUCCCGCUAAAGUUGGAAACUUCCAACGUUUAGAAAACGUUGGAAGAGUCAGAUGAAGAAGAGAAGAAGGAUGAAUUAA
rnacentral:lncRNA from 1 species